CUGACCUGCUGGUUUCCCAUGGUGCAGCUCCACGCACUCUGACCUGCUGGUUUCCCAUGGUGCACCUCCACGCACUCUGACCUGCUGGUUUCCCAUGGUGCACCUCCACGCACUCUGACCUACUGGUUUCCCAUGAUGCACCUCCAUGCACUCUGACCUGCUGAUUUCCCACGGUGUGGAUUCCCAUUGUUUCCCAUUGUUCUUGGUGAGGAUUCCAGGUUGGCCCAUCUUCCCCCAUACUCUUGGGGUUCGUGUGCACUCUCAAGAUGCACAUGGUUACACCGUACAUCACUCCCUAGUGGUUGACCCGGGCACUCGGCCUCCCCAAUCCUGGGUGUCCAGCCACUGAUGUCCAAAGAUGGCACGAGUCUCUCACCUCAAAAGAGCAUGACCUUCGACGGCUGCCGUGACACUGCAGUGCCCAGCGUGGCAGCCACUGGCCACACAUCACCAUCGGGAACCUGAAACACGGCUCUUCCAAACUGAGACCUGUAAACACAAAGCACACACUGGACUUGAAGUGAAGUGUCUCACUCACAUCGGCUGACAUGGAAGAGAGAAUAUUCUGGUCUAUGAAGCUCAACACGAUUCGAACUAUUAAAAUGAACUGUGUACCUG
rnacentral:lncRNA from 1 species